rnacentral:tRNA from 1 species
GCUUCGUUAGCUCAGCUGGUUAGAGCUGUAGUCACCAUAUUGGACUGCGUAAGCCGCAGGUUCGAGUCCUGCACGAGGCA